rnacentral:pre_miRNA from 1 species
AGCUGUGAUUGUCCAAACGCAAUUCUUGUCGCCGUUCGAACACCAAGAACUGUGUGUGGACAUCAAUGCU